GAUGAACGCUGGCGGCGUGCCUAAUACAUGCAAGUCGAGCGAAGCGGGGACGGGUGAGUAAUCCGUGGAUAACCUCCUAUAAGACUGGGAUAACUCUGGGAAACCGGAGCUAAACCGGAUACUUACAGAUGGACCCGCGCGGCAUUAGCUAGUUGGUAAGGUAACGGCUUACCAAGGCGACGUUGCAUAGCCGACCUGAUAGGGUGAACGGCCACACUGGAACUGAGACACGGUCCAGACUCCUACGGGAGGCAGCGGUGGGGAAUCUUGCGCAAUGGGCGAAAGCCUGACGGAGCAACGCCGCGUGAGUGAGGAAGGUCUUCGGAUCGUAAAACUCUGUUAUUAGGGAAGCGUUACCUAAUCAGAAAGCCACGGCUAACUACGUGCCAGCAGCCGCGGUAAUAC
rnacentral:rRNA from 1 species